GAUGAACGCUGGCGGCGUGCUUAACACAUGCAAGUCGAACGGAAAGGCCCAAGCUUGCUUGGGUACUCGAGUGGCGAACGGGUGAGUAACACGUGGGUGAUCUGCCCUGCACUUCGGGAUAAGCCUGGGAAACUGGGUCUAAUACCGGAUAGGACCACUUCUUGGAUGUUGUGGUGGAAAGUUUUUUCGGUGUGGGAUGAGCUCGCGGCCUAUCAGCUUGUUGGUGGGGUAAUGGCCUACCAAGGCGUCGACGGGUAGCCGGCCUGAGAGGGUGUACGGCCACAUUGGGACUGAGGUACGGCCCAGACUCCUACGGGAGGCAGCAGUGGGGAAGAUUGCACAAUGGGCGCAAGCCUGAUGCAGCGACGCCGCGUGGGGGAUGACGGCCUUCGGGUUGUAAACUCCUUUCGCUAGGGACGAAGCGUUUUGUGACGGUACCUGGAGAAGAAGCACCGGCUAACUACGUG
rnacentral:rRNA from 1 species